AAGCAUAUAAUUAAAUCGGGUUGCUACGAAGUCGCGUUAUCUACGCUUCGUCGUUUCUAUGCUCUUUGUGUUCGCCUCUCUUGAAAACAACGAAACAAAACAAAAAAGAAAAUCAAAAGAUCCAACAUAAUGAUUAAAAGUUACCUCACCAUACUAAGUCCCUUAACAUCAUCAUUUAAACAUUCAUAAUCAUCUUCAUGAUUUUUCAUCAUGAUUUUUGCUUCAUAUCUCUAUAAGCAUAAUAAGAUACAUCAUUUGUAACAUCACAUUUUUUACGAAGCAUUAUUGUCAUCGUUGCAGCAUCACUGAUAACGUUUAAAAAGUCAAUGUCAUCGGCAUCCGUCCAAAAGUUUCUUCGGACGCACGAUGUUGUGUGUAUCGUUUUCGCACGAAUACGCGCGCGUUUAUAUAUAUAUAUAUGUACUUUUUUUUAGAGCAAAGUGCACAUACGAUAUACUUUCGUAUAUUCAUUGUAUGUCGUCAAUGUAUAUAUGUGUGUGUGCGCGCGCGCGCGUAUGUAUCAAGUAUAGAUAACGACGUACAUACGACGCGCGUGCUCACGUAUCAUGUACUUGGUGUUCAAUUUGUAAUGUGUUACGUAGUAUAUAUACAUGGCGUGCAAGUGGUAUAUAUAUAUAUAUAUAUAUAUAUAUAUAUAAAGUUGAAGUCCCAAGUCGAGAAAAAAAAAAAAAAAAAAACAAAAAACAUGGAAACUCUGUCCUCUCCCGCUCUUUCUCUCGUCGAACAACAACAUCGAGUUGUACCAAAUACAAGUUUAAACUAGUUUCAAUCUACGUUUAAAAUUCUCGCGAAUGGCAGAGAGCAGAGAAAAGUCGCGAUCUUUCUCACUCCUGGAUUUAAACAAGAACAGACAUUCUCGUGUUGUAACCUUCUGUCUGUCUCCGCUAGAAAAGAAAGCGGACGGUGGAGGAAGAAUUCGUGAGGCUUUUCAAAAGAAAGAGAUUCGCAUGUACCUGCUGCUGAAUGAAGGGGAUGACUAAAAAAAUCCCCCCGAUCAUUCACGGGAAAGAAGCAUCGCACUAAACGCGCCUACGUGACACAGAUCGACGACAUCGACGAGAUACGUAGGUAUCUCAAGUAACGUCGCAAUAUUUAAAAAAAAACCGAUCGACGAAUGGUACCUUUUUCUCUUUUUCUCUUUCUUUAUUUACCCCUUCCCUUUCUCUCUGCCUUUUUUUCCUUUUAUCCUUUUCAGAUCUUCCGGAAGAGAAAUAAAUAUUGACCAAAGCGAAUUCGUGAGAGGACGGAGCCUCGACUCUUUCUUUCUCUUCUCUCUUUCUCUCUCUUUGUGUUGGUAAGAGAAGAGAUAAUGAACGUUUGUGUGAACGAGACUAGUGACCGUAGACAGGCAGACAGGCAGGCGGACAGGCGGGCAGGCAGACAGGCAGACAGGCAGGCGAAGAGUACGAUUAUCUUUCGGACAGAGCGUUACUACUAAUUGUCAGCAAAGAUAGUAUAAAAAUGUAGCAAUUGUGAGUACGAUGAGCGAAAACUUCAAAGAUCAAACUAAACAUGGCCACAUCUGGAACUAUUCUGAGCGGGCGGCUGCACGGAACCUGGGAAAGGCGGUCGAGCGAGCGGGAGCGGGUCAGGGGUGGGGGGGUAUGGUUACCUUCGCUUUCACCAAUCGUAGAACAUACGUAUGGAUCACGUGCUUCUCCACCCUUUAUUUGGUCUUCCCCCCCAUUCCUUCUCCGUUCUCACCAACGCUCUUUCUUGGCGCUCUCUUCUCUCUUCUCUCUGCCGCCAUGUUUCCAUCACCACCCGUUCCGUUAGCACGCGUCAUUCUACGCGAAAGAAAUUCCUGAAGUUGUCGAGAUCGUUCCCUCGUCUCUUCCAACGCAAUGGCGGACUUAAUAGCAUCUACUAACUAUCGUGAAAACAUCUAAUCUGAAAGUUGCUACUUUUGAUCAAUGAUAGUCACGGUUAUCGAACAUUGCACAAACAGAAAAGCGUGUUUUGUUUCGAAACAGACAAUGAACAAUUAUUUUCUUUGUAAUUAUCGGUACUAUCAUAUUACUCAUUAUAUAUAUAUAUAUAUAUAUAUGUGUGUGUGUGUGUGUGUGUAAGUGGAUAAGUUAUGUAUUUAUACAUAUUAACAAUAAUA